rnacentral:rRNA from 1 species
UCCCCGGUAAAGUGGCGCACGGGUGCGUAACACGUAGGCAAUCUUCCCUCAGGUGGGGGAUAACUACCCGAAAGGGUAGCUAAUACCGCGUAAGACCACAGUCUCCACGGAGACAGCGGUCAAAGGAGGUCUCUUCAUGAAAGCUUCCACCAGAGGAUGAGCCUGCGGCCCAUCAGCUAGUUGGCAGGGUAACGGCCUACCAAGGCGAAGACGGGUAGCCGGUCUGAGAGGAUGAUCGGCCACACUGGCACUGAAACACGGGCCAGACUCCUACGGGAGGCAGCAGUGGGGAAUCUUGGACAAUGGGCGAAAGCCUGAUCCAGCGACGCCGCGUGGGUGAUGAAGGCCUUCGGGUUGUAAAGCCCUGUUGAGGGGAAAGAAAACAUCGGGCGCGAAUAGCUCCCGAUCUUGACGGUACCCCUCCAGAAAGCACCGGCUAACUCUGUGCCAGCAGUUGCGGUAAGACAGAGGGUGCAAACGUUGCUCGGAAUUACUGGGCGUAAAGCGCGUGUAGGCGGGCCAACAAGUCAGAUGUGAAAUCCCUGAGCUUAACUCAGGAACUGCAUUUGAAACUGUUGGCCUUGAGUGGUGGAGAGGGAAGCGGA